rnacentral:lncRNA from 1 species
GGGUGGGGGUUGGGGAUAGGGGUGAACGGUGCUGGAAGCCCAGCUAAAUUUCUGUCUUGUUUGGGUUUUUUUUUUGUUUUGUUUAAUGUAUAUUUUUAUUAUAAUUAUUAUAUAUGAAUGCCAUUCAAAUCGUUCCUUUUUGUUAACAAGGGGCAUGGGGAGGGGUGGGGGGUGGAGGGGGGCUGAGGCGACUGACCCCAGAAACCUGCAGGGCGGGGCUGGGUCAGUGCUCUCUAAGGACAUUUUUUGACCUUGUUCAACCUUUCCAAGAAGAAUAAACUGUGUUUCACAUUCUUU